CAUCCUUGGUCUUCAUCAAAAAUAGGGAGUUGAGAUACUGGGCUGUUGCACUUCAGAAUGACACUCCAAAGACAUUUCUCAUUUUUAUCAUCAGGAAAAUACUGAGUUUUGAAGUGAAAUACAGUGCAGAACACAGUGUGAAAAGUGAAGGCUCCUGCAAGCAAGUGGAAACCUGGAUCCCCAUCAAGAAGUGACAUAAUUCAACUCUCUGCAAGAGUUCAGAGGCUGCAUCUUUAAAAUCCCAACCCCCACUUGUCUGGUGGGUUUUCUAACCAGCAGAGGAAGCAGUUUGUCUCACAGUUCAGCAAACACAGCUAACAGCUUUUCAAAAUGACCAGCUACUUUUGCUAGCAUUCUGUGUUUUUGCCUGUAAAGAAGAAGAAAAACAUUGUCCUUAGGAACAGUCUCCACAAUCAUCCAUAAUAACAGCACAAGACAUACAUUCUUUCACCCACUGCAUUUAUAAAAUGUGCAGCUUCCCCUUGACCUGCUGCAGAGGAGACAGUAAGUGUCUGUGUGAUGAGAUCCAGAAGCUGUCUUGAAACCCAUUUGGAUAAAAUGGAAAAUCUAAGAAAUGUAUCUUCUAAGGAAAAGAGGAUUGGUGUGACAGCUCCUGAAUGGAUCAGAUCUCAGGGUUUACAGAGCCUAUCAACUCAUCUAUCCGCUUCAUAUUUGGCAUUUUUCCCUCUCUAGGAAUUGAACUGAAACACUGUCAUUUAGAACAAACUUGGUCCGUCUUGUGAUGGAUAUUAUUACUGCCACCAAAGGAAGCUGACAAACGAAAGGAGACUCAAAGUUGGUCUGAUGAAUCUCCAUCCGUGCUCCUGCUUAUUCCAAAAUCUUCAAUAAUGGGCAAAAAUCUGACAGAGCAGAAAGAACCAGCUGUUCUGAACUCAUCCACAGCUUGCACAGCUGCCUAGAGAACAGAACUUGCUUGAUUAAACUGGAGAGAUUUCAGAGAAGAGCAGCAAAACUUUACAUGAAUUAAACAGGUUUAAGUAAGCAGUGACUAAGCAACAUAAAUGAGCUUACAGGGGAGGAAGAUACUGGGCGAAGCCAGUGAGAGCAUCUGGGGAGAAAUGGCAUGAAUUCAAAGGUUUGCCUAAAUGCAGAGUUCUUCUGACUUGAUUUAAGUGUGAUUUAAAAUGAUUUAGGUAAAGAAGUUCAAAAGGCUAAGCAGGCACUCUUGUUUUGAUAUAAACCAUGUCUGCAGUUAAAAUAUUUGGAAUAUAUCAUACACUAAACACCAAAAUUAUUCUUUUAAGCCUAAGGAAGAGUGAUUGCAGAGGUAUUCCUUGCCAAACUAAACCAGCACAGAGGCGCGAAUGGAGAGGGACAAGGAAGGGAGAGCCAAGAGGAGGAGGGUGAGAAAGUAUCCAAGGAGGAGUCCUGCUUUGUCUCCAGAGGUGAUCGAUGGGACAGCAUUUUCUAGGACCAUUGUCUCUGCUUUUGAGGUUUUUAGAAUGGCUCUAGAGAUCUUUUUAACUUGAUUGCAUGCCCUUCCUGUGCUAGUCCCAAAAGAGACAACGUCAGCGCAUGAGAGGUCUUGGAAAUUACAUGAACAACUAGAGACUAGCAAAUAUGUCAUCAUGUUCUGUCACCUCAGAGUCACACACUGCCUCUGCAGACUUCAGAGUGAUUUGACCCAAAGCCUUCCAGCUUGGCACAGGGAAACCCCACCAUCACAAUGAGCUGGCGGUCUUCCAGUUUGCCAUUUGAAACCAGUGGUUCUCUGGUGCAACAUUUCUUUCUGCGCCACAGGAAGGUGCUCCUUCAGCUGGACACCUGACACAGAGCCUGCGCAAAGCGGGCACCCAGGGCACCAACAUUUCUGUCUGAGCCAUUUCUUGAAAUUGAGGUCUGAAUUUUCCAUUUUCCUCCUGCUUUUCAAAUGUAAAACUGGGAUCACAACAACCUGAGAUGUUAAGAUGUAAGCUAUCUCUACUGAAAAUGCAGACAACUGAUGUGUAAAUAUCCUGACUAAGCAAAUCAGAAGGGGGCUGGCUUUCCUUAUAAGUCAUCUUUUAAAUGAUCAUUUACUAAUAUCUUCAGUGACUCACAGGCCAGUCUCGCUGCUACUGCAAUGCUCAGGAUGUCAGAAAUGCUUCACUCAGUGCGUUCUUAGCACAGUCUGUCAUUCAAGUGACUUUUUCCAACUUUUAGUUACAGUCUCAUGUAGCGCUACUCACAGUGCUUUGUGCAUCCUUGAGGGAGGCAGUACAGCCUGGUAGCUGUUGGGAAGUGUUGGGAAUUGAUGUUACAAAGGACUCUGGUUUUGAGCUCAGCGGAAGCACUUCGGCGCAGCUGUGUAACCUGGGGGCAGAUCACUCAACUGCGUUGUGCCCAAGUGAACCCAGCUGCAAGGCGUCUUAGAAACCAGAUGGUGCACAAGGUUUCAAUCAUUCAGGAAAAUGAAGAGGUUUUAUAGUCACGCUGCUCUAUUUGUUCCACAUUACCACAUAGGAAACUUACACAAAAAUGAGAAGUAGACCACUGAGAAUCUGUCUACAAAUGGUGCUAAUCUUGUGACUAAGCAAAUUUGGUUUUGCUUGCUCAGUAUAGCUCAUGUCACUCUCCUGGUGCCUUGCUGUAUCUUAUUGCCCACACUCAAGAAUACAGCUGUUCCCAAGAGAAGC